rnacentral:lncRNA from 1 species
UCUGGCUUGUACAGCUUUCAUAGGUCACAGUUCUGUUGAAGGAAGUCCAGGGCAGGAACCCCAGGUAGGAACCUGGAGGCGAGACCCAUAGAGGAAUGCUGUAUGCUAACUGCUUCUCCGCCUUGCUCGCAAGUUCAUGCUCACUCAGGUAGAUGUUUACAUAGCCCAGGACCACCUACUUAGGGAAUGACACUGCCCAUAGUGGGCUGGGUCAAUUAGCAACCAAACAACCCCCAUAGAAUACCCACAGGCCCCUCUGAUCUAGGCAGCUCCUCAAGUGGGGUUUCCCUCUUCCUGGGUGACUCAAGUCUGAGUGAAAUUGACAGUAAAAACUGAGCAGGAUGCCUGCAUCUAUAACAUCACAGCACACGGGAGGUAGAGGCAGGAGGAUUAGGAGUUCGGGCUCAUCCUCCACUAUGAGUAGGGGAUGAAGGCCAGUCUGGGCUCUAUGGUACUUUGUGUGGAAGACAGCAAAUGAGUAAAAACAAAAGACAUUUUCAUCUUUGUUUCCUUACUGAUCUUCUUUCUCACUUCCUUUCUUUUUUUCCCACCUUAUCUUUUUCUUCUUUCUUUCUUCUCUCUUUUUUUAAGGCAGAGUAUCUCUCUUCCUCUCUCCCACUCUGAGACAGAUUCCCUCUGACUCUCAGAGUCUCACUAGACCUACCAGGCUGCUGUGGAGCCCACUCUGCUGCCUUUGUUUUGUGGUAGGGUUUCCCUGUAUAGCUCAGGGUGGCUUUAAACUUACGAACAUACUGCCUUUAUCCCCCACAAGUGCUUGAGUAUAGACCCACUUGUGUGUCACCCUGGUGGCUUCGGCCCUGUGUGUUGGUUAUGUUUUAUGUCCCUAUGUAAGCUAUGGUAUAGAGAUAUUUCUCUCUCUCAUAUAAGUGUGAGUGUGUGUGUGUGUGUGUGUUGCAUAUAUUAUCCUGUGUGUGUGUGUGUGUAUAUAUAUAUACAUAUUAUAUGUAUACAUAUACACAUAUGUGUGUAUGUAUAUAUAUCUUAUAUAUAUGAUAACAUGAUAUACAUGUGAGUAUGUAUGAAUAUGAUAAUGUCUAAUAUAUGAAAGAGAAAUCUCUGUCUCUGUCUCUGUCUCUCUGUCCUUCUGUCUGUCUGUCUGUCUGUCUGUCUGUCUGUCUCUCUCUCUCUCUCUCACACACACACACACACACACACACACACGCAUACGCACUCGCACAUGCACACACCCACACUCCAGAAGAUGUUACAGAGCCAUUUUGGAAGAGGAGAUUCAACUGAGACAAUGCCCCUACCAGACUGGCCUGCAAGCAAGCCUGUGGUGAGUUUUCUUGAUCAGUGAUUGAUGUUGGAGGACGUAGCACACAGGGGGUGGUGCUGCCCUGUGUGGGUGGUCCUGAGUGGUCUAAGAAACCGGGCUGAGCAGAGCCACGGGGAGCGCGUCAGUAAGCAGUGUUUCCCAUAGCUACUAUUUUGAUUCUUGUCUCCAGGUUCUUGUUCUGACUUCCCUGGAUGAUAGACUACAAGCUGUAAGCUGAAAUAAACCUUUCCACCAACCAGAGGGUUUUGGACGUAGUGUUUUAUCACAGCAAUAGAAACCUAAGAUGCCCUGUUAGAGUGAACAUUAACUAUGUUGCUGUGUUUGCACUAGCAGGAGCCACCCAGUGGCCCUCUUUGGUAUCUCCAGGACAGCGACAGCUGCUCCUGCUGCAAUGGGCAGGGUGGGCAGCUAUAAAAUAACUCCUGGCUGCUUACACUCAGGGAGGAAGAACUAGGAAAGAGGAGACCAGCACCAGAGAAAGCCACAACCUGAUCCCCAGCUCAGGCUCUGCUCUACUUUGUGAACACUCAGGCUGCUCAGGGCUGCCUUUCAAUGUCUCCCUGAAAAAAACAAUUAGGCAGUGGAGACGUGUUUGCGCAAGCUUUCUUUGCAACUCAUAAACCCAUAAACGACGUCAUUUCACGGCUUUAACUCACUGAGUGCGUCCUUCUGAGAGGAUAAGCUCUGUGCUUAACUUUAUGAGGUUAUUAAUCCUUACCAGUGCCAGGAACACUAGAUAAUGCCUGAUCUGGUAUGGCCGAUGGAGCUGGCCUUGGGAGCCCCAGAGCUAAGCACGUGGCUCUGUACUCUGUGUCAGGAAGCAUGAGCAAAACACUACUGG